rnacentral:rRNA from 1 species
UACGUAGGGCGCAAGCGUUAUCCGGAAUUAUUGGGCGUAAAGAGCUCGUAGGCGGUUUGUCGCGUCUGCCGUGAAAGUCCGGGGCUCAACUCCGGAUCUGCGGUGGGUACGGGCAGACUAGAGUGAUGUAGGGGAGACUGGAAUUCCUGGUGUAGCGGUGAAAUGCGUAGAUAUCAAGAGGAACACCAGUGGCGAAGGCGAGUCCCUGGACAAUACCUGACACUGAGGCACGAAAGCCAAGGGAGCAAACAGG